rnacentral:lncRNA from 1 species
CUCAAGAUAAAACCAUAAAACAUAAACUAACACUUGCCUAUACAAAAGAAGCCUACAUUCAAUACUAUAUACUUUUUAAAUUUUGAUCUAGGAAUAUUUAAUUCAUAGCUCGCUGUGUUCUCCUUGAAUUUUCUUUGUUCCAAUCCCAGUGAAAAAUCAUCAAUAUUAUAUCAAAACAUCAAUGUAACCUACAAAAUAAACACUUAUCUGCAUACAAUGGUAUGUAACUACUUUCCAGAGUAUUUUAUUGAUUUCUGUGUUGGAUUUAGAAUUAUCAACCGGAACAUUAGAACCGAUUGCUGUGUUGGAUUUAGAAUUAUCAACCUGAACAUUUGAACCAAACAAUCUCUGCAACAUUAAUGAGACGAACACAUUUUUCUGUUUUAAACAGGAAUAAUCAAC